rnacentral:rRNA from 1 species
AUAUUGCACAAUGGGCGCAAGCCUGAUGCAGCCAUGCCGCGUGUAUGAAGAAGGCCUUCGGGUUGUAAAGUACUUUCAGCGAGGAGGAAGGCGUUAAGGUUAAUAACCUUGGCGAUUGACGUUACUCGCAGAAGAAGCACCGGCUAACUUCGCGCCAUCAGCCGCGGUACUACGGAGGGUGCAAGCGUUCAUCGGAAUUACUGGGCGUAAAGCGCACGCAGGCGGUCUGUCAAGUCGGAUGUGAAAUCCCGGGGCUCAACCUGGGAACUGCAUUCGAAACUGGCAGGCUGGAGUCUUGUAGAGGGGGGUAGAAUUCCAGGUGUAGCGGUGAAAUGCGUAGAGAUCUGGAGGAAUACCGGUGGCGAAGGCGGCCCCCUGGACAAAGACUGACGCUCAGGUGCGAAAGCGUGGGGAGCAAAC